rnacentral:rRNA from 1 species
UACGUAGGCAGCGAGCGUUGUUCGGAGUUACUGGGCGUAAAGGGUGUGUAGGCGGUUGUUUAAGUUUGGUGUGAAAUCUCCCGGCUCAACUGGGAGGGUGCGCCGAAUACUGAGGGACUUCGAGUGCGGGAGAGGAAAGUGGAAUUCCUGGUGUAGCGGUGAAAUGCGUAGAUAUCAGGAGGAACACCGGUGGUGUAGACGGCUUUCUGGACCGUAACUGACGCUGAGACACGAAAGCGUGGGUAGCAAACAGG